AAAGUAUCAAGCCCAAAUAAGGAAAUUCGCAACAAUAUUUCUUUUUUAAAAAAUAAAAUACUAAUGAUAAUUAACGGACUUCAUCGUUACUUAAUUUACUUUCUCACUUCUCAGAUAUUUUGAUUUCUUUUCCUCCUCAGCUCAUCCCCGAAACAAUAAGAAAGAAAAAACCCUAACCCUAGAUUUCGUCUAUCACGAACUCCAUGGCUAGCGAAGCCCAGGGCUCGCAAAAGCACCGUCGUUCGUCCUCCGACGACGAGGAGAAGUCUUUGAAGCGUCACAAGCAUCGCCACCAUCACCGCAGCCACCACCGCCAUCGCCACAGCAGCCGAAAGCGCGGAGAGGAGACAAAAUCAGCCGCCGAUGGUAAUGGAAUUCCUCCUACUCCUCCCGUUGUGAUUGAGAAUUCUCGACCCGAUGAAGAUGUGGAAGAAGGGGAAAUUCUUGACGAGGAGGGAGGUCUCACUGGCGCUGUUGAUGGAGUUGCGGAGAAGAGAGCGGAGUCUGAUGUUGAGUCUGGUGAAAUUGAAGCCGUUGGAGAUCGCGAUCAAUCGGAUAAACGAAAUCUGGGUCAAGAUAAUGACAAUGACUCUCCGUAUUCUGAAGCAAGUAUGCUAGUAAAAGAGACUAUGGGGAGCAGUGCUAGAAAUUCUAGAUCAUCGAAGGAUCAGGCUGUUGACAAGUUGGAUCCUAUGUUAUGGGGAAAAGCAGAUGAAACUCAUCAAAGUGAGGCUAGUUUGCGUAGAAAUUUGACUAUUGACCCUCGUGAUGAUCCUAGAGAUGAAUUAGUUUUCAGAGUUAAGUCAGGCAAUGGUGUAAAUGGGACAUUGAACUCUCGAUCUCACAGAGAGGAAAAUAGACGGGGCAGAGAAUCUGGGUCCCCUUUAAAAAAGAGUGAUGAGAAAAAAGUUUUCUAUGAUGGUGGAAAUAUGGGGGUUGACCGUAAGAGCAAGACCUUGAUGCAUUCAUCUUCGCAUGAUAGCUGCCGUGAUGAUAUAUAUCGUAGAGGAAGAUCAAGGUCAUAUGACCGUGGAAGAGAGAGGUCUCGUUCCCGUAGUGUCAUGGAAGAGGAUGCCCUCCCCAAAAGGAGACACAGCCACACUGAUAAAAGUGACAUUGCAUACACCCAUAAUGGUGAGAGGACAGGUCGAGGUCAUGAUUUUAAAGAUCUGGAGAAAGAUGAUGACAGGGAACAAAGUAUAGGUUAUAGUAGCAGACAUGUUGGAGUGGAUGACAGACGUCACAGCCGAGAGAGGAAGACUAGAGAGGGGAGUAGGGAGAGGGAGGUAGAAAGAGAUUGGACAAGGGAAAAAGAAAGGGCAAGGAGCAGAGACAGAGAGAUAGACAGGGAUCGAAGAAGAGAGAAAGAACGAGAAAGAAGUAGAGACUGGGAUUUGGAAAGGGAUAGGAGAAGGGAAAGGGGAAGAGAUAGAAGUAGAGAAAGAGACAUGGAGAGGGACAGGAAAAGAGAGAAGGAGAGAGAUAGGAGCAGAAUUGUUGAUAGAAGUAGAGAUAGUGAUAGGGAAAGAGACAGGUACACUGAUAGGGUUAUGGAGCGGAAUCAGGAGAGGCGCGAUGAUGGGAAUAGAGAUAAGGGCAGGGACAAGGAGAGGGACAAAUAUGAAAGUCUUGAAGACAUUUAUGGUGAACGGGAUAGGUACAGACAUUCCAGGAGCUCUAGACAUGAUGAAAAGGAUUAUGUAAAAGACAAAGCAGAAAAAAAUGAUUCAGAAAUGGCUAACAGUUUAAAAAAUGGCUCUUCAGUGGUGGGUAAGAACUCGUUUAAGAGAGAUGAAGAUGGACAAGACGAUUAUGAAGAUGGGCCCACACUGCAACUUGCUGAAGAAGAGGAAGAUCUCAACAGAAUUAAGGAGGAGAGUCGAAGACGAAGGCAAGCAAUCUUAGAAAAGUACAAGAUUCAGCCUGUACAGCAACAAACUGAGUUAAAGGCUGAAUCAGAUGUGGAGAAAGAUAAAGAGCCUGCAGAUCAUCCAGGUCCAUCAACAGCCCUUUCCAACAUUCGUCAAGAUAGUGUGGAUGGUAGUGCCAAUGGCACUGAUAUCUUUGGUGCUGAGCCAUCAUUUACUGUGGGGAAAUCACCUCCCAAUGGAGUUGCUACUUCUUGUGGCAAUUUUGUUGAUGGAGGACUUGGAGAGGGUUCUCCAAAGAGUGAGAGAUCAGAAGGAAUGUUUUGUGAUGAUAUUUUUGGCGAGACACCAACUGGAAUUCGAAAAACUGGCAAAGGUGGUGUGCGGGUUGAAAGGAGUGGUCUUCAUGAUAAUUGGGAUGAUGCCGAGGGUUACUACAGCUACAGAUUUGGAGAAUUACUUGAUGGUAGAUAUGAGAUUACUGCAGCCCAUGGCAAAGGUGUGUUUUCAACCGUAGUUAGAGCAAAGAAUGUCAAAGCUAGUAAUGGUGAACCAGAAGAAGUGGCAAUAAAAAUAAUACGCAGUAAUGAUACCAUGUACAAGGCUGGUAUGACUGAGCUGGUCAUAUUAAAGAAAUUAGUUGGUCAAGAUCCAGAUAACAAGCGUCACUGUGUUCGUUUUUUAUCAAAUUUCAAGUACCGGAAUCAUCUUUGUCUAGUUUUUGAAUCCCUUCAUAUGAAUCUGCGUGAGGUUUUAAAGAAGUUUGGACGCAAUAUUGGUCUUAAGCUGACUGCUGUUAGAGCCUAUGCCAAGCAACUUUUUAUUGCGCUGAAGCAUCUAAAAAAUUGUGGUGUUCUUCAUUGUGAUAUCAAGCCUGACAAUAUGCUGGUAAAUGAAGCAAAAAAUGUGCUGAAACUUUGUGAUUUUGGUAAUGCUAUGUUUGCUGGCAAAAAUGAAAUCACACCUUACCUUGUUAGCCGCUUUUAUCGUGCUCCUGAAAUAAUUCUUGGGUUGCCUUAUGAUCAUCCACUGGAUAUAUGGUCUGUAGGUUGCUGUUUAUACGAGCUUUAUACAGGAAAAGUUCUUUUUCCAGGUGCUACAAAUAAUGACAUGUUGCGACUUCACAUGGAAUUGAAAGGCCCUUUUCCAAAAAAGAUGCUACGGAAGGGAGGUUUUACUGAUCAACAUUUUGAUCAAGAUUUGAACUUUCAUGCUACAGAAGAGGAUCCUGUUACAAAAAAGACUAUCAACCGAUUGAUUCUCAACAUAAAGCCAAAAGAUAUUGGGUCAAUUAUUUUGGGUUCUCCUGGUGAGGAUCCAAAGAUGUUGGCUGACUUUAAAGAUCUUCUAGAUAAAAUGUUUGUUUUGGAUCCAGAUAAGAGGUUGACUGUAUCACAGGCACUGAGCCAUCCAUUCAUCACUGGCAAGUGAACCCUGUUGCUGAUUUUCUCACUCAAGAUUCCUGUUCAGCUAGAUAUUUGUAGAUUAUGACCUAAUUCAUGUUCAUUUCUAAUCAUUGGGCAUUAUGUCUUCUCUAUUAUGGCAUGAGAGCUUGACACAGCUUGGCAUCGCUGAAGUCAAAAGGGGUGAUGUUUGGUUGAGGAGUACUCAUUUUGGCUGGUUCUUUCAGUGGAGUGUACUGUUUCUAUUGAUGUCUUCUGCUGCUUUUGGGGCAACCCUUCAGUGCUUAGAUGCUUUAAAGGCACCCGGGAGAAGGUACCUUGGUUUGUUUAUUGGGAGAUUGUGGUGGCACUAUUGAAAGAAGAUAUUAUUAUUAUUAUCUUUCCUGUUCUUUGUUUGUUCUGAUCUAGUAGCAGUUUUUUGGCCUAUAGAAGUUAAAGUCCUAAGAUAUUUUCUUCCUUUUUGUGUGUUUUUUGAUGGCUUGUUUCACAGGUAGUUCUUUAAAUGGUCGGCUGUUUUUGAUACUCAUUAGGUAGUUUUAAAGUAAUUACGUGCAUCUUUAUCCUGGAAUAUGUUUGUUGAGUAUAUGUUGUAGAUAGUGGCCAUUAUAUUCUCAAUUCCACCAAUAUUCAAUCCCUUUUAGUUUGUCUUCCAAUAAACUUGAUUUUCCUAUCACUCAAAUUUAGAUGUCAGUCUCAGUUGUUUUUCCAUCUUUAUUUUUCUUUUCUUGCCUUUGCUCAAUUACAUAUCCUAAUGAAAGUGCCUUACAUCUGAUCCCCAUGGUGUGGUCAAUUUGGAGGCACGUGCAUUGGAGGCGUGUGGCUACUGCACUGAUGUUCGAGUUGUGGGUAUGCCCCAUGUGCGUGCAACACUUUGUAAGUUUAUUCAACCAUAAUUCUUCAUGCAUUAUUUUGAUUUGAAGUGUGUGAUUUGAAGUCAUCCUUGAUCAUAUUAGUGUAAUCAUAACUUGUGUAGAAAAGUUUUUUAAGUAUCAAUUUAGGUGUGUGUGGAAGUAGUAGAUUUUUUUAUCUAUCUAGCGUGAGGAGAUGUAGAAAACUUUAGGCUGUAAUUAGUUCACAUUGUAUUUGUUUUUUAGGAGUAGGUAAUUCGAUGAGUAGAGAAGACCCGGAAGGAUAGAUAGUUUUGUCAAACUCAUGGUUUACUACCACCAAGUUUGAUAUUUGAUCUUUGUGUAGACCUAUCUAGUAUUAUGUCAAGUCUCUUGCCUUUUAAAAAACCAUAAGGUUUAGUUGAGUCUGUUAAGACUAUAUUGUUUAUUCCUAUGAAGUCUGUGGGAUUUGAUUCCUUCUAGGGGACCUACCUAGCGAUGUGCUGGUCUGGUCGCCUUUUAACAAAAAAAAGAGAAUAUAGUGUUUAACUGAUCGACAAGUAUUGAUAAAGGAAGAUUGUGGUUCAUUUACAAGAAGUUAUUUGACGUAAAUAUACAAAAUAUACAGGUCUUUUUUCUUUGGUUUCUAAACUUUUGUAUGGUUAUGGAAAAGCUGUGAUUAUGGUCAAUUGAUUAUGUGUUUCACUAAACAGGUAGAUGUUUUUUUUUGCUAUUAUUAAACUUGGCUGUUUAAAUGAAACUUACUUUAGUGUUUUUUUUUUCACUCUGUUGAAGCUUGUAGGCAUUCUUUUAUUUUUCAUUUUUUUUUAUAGAGAUAAAUUAGAUGUGAUUAAAUGAUCAAUUCCACCAUUCAAGUAAAUGGCAGUGUAGUGAUUUCAUAUUAUCAAAUAAUCAGAAAGAAUGUCGGCCAACAAAAUAAAUAAUUAAGAAUCAGAAAAGGGCACUAUGUGACAUAGCUGAUUUGUUUUUUUUUUUGAAAAGAGCUGAUGUCUUUUACUGUGUGUAUUUUGUUAGUGACUAGACAUUUAAUCUGGUGAUCAUUGAUCAUCACAAUUUAGAAUAAGAAAGGAUCUUGGGUGGAAAAUUUCUUAGGAACUCGAACAUUUAAGUGCAUUUCUUAAAGGGUUCUUAAAAGGUUGUACAUUAUACAUUCUUUUAAUAUGGGUGUUCAUAUAUAUGCAUGUUCGUGUUUCAAUUUUUUGUUUUGUUUCUUACAAUUCUACUUGAAUUGAUGACUGAGCAAUGCCGUCUUCAUAUGGGUUUGAGAAACUGGAUUCCCUCGUUGGUUCUCUAGAUACAUAUGUUACGUAGGACGAGUUUUUGUUUUUAUAAAAGUAAAACAAAUACAUACAGUUAUACACUGCGAGCACUCUACAUUGACAACAUACUAUUUAUGAUUGUAAAUUUUUUAAAUUAAUUUCUCCUUUCUUAUUGU